rnacentral:rRNA from 1 species
AGAGUUUGAUCCUGGCUCAGGAUGAACGCUGGCGGCGUGCUUAACACAUGCAAGUCAAGGGGGCCCAGCAAUGGGCAACCGGCGAACGGGUGCGUAACACGUGAGCAACCUACCCAGGUGUGGGGGAUAGCCGUCCCAACGGACGGGUAAUACCGCAUACGCUCUUUUCGAGGCAUUUCGAGGAGAGGAAACCUUCGGGGCACCAUGAGGGGCUCGCGGCCUAUCAGCUAGUUGGCGAGGUAACGGCUCACCAAGGCUACGACGGGUAGCUGGUCUGAGAGGAUGGCCAGCCACAUUGGGACUGAGAAACGGCCCAGACUCCUACGGGAGGCAGCAGUGGGGAAUCUUGCGCAAUGGCCUAACGGCUGACGCAGCGACGCCGCGUGAGGGAUGACGCUCUUCGGAGUGUAAACCUCUUUUGCCUGGAACGAACUAUCGGCAUUUGCCGAUUUGACGGUACCGGGUGAAUAAGCACCGGCUAACUCCGUGCCAGCAGCCGCGGUAAUUC